rnacentral:misc_RNA from 1 species
AACUGAUACUACCUGCGGGAACCUGCGGAGGGAUCAUUACCGAGUUAUACAACUCCCAAACCCACUGUGAACCUUACCUCAGUUGCCUCGGCGGGAACGCCCCGGCCGCCUGCCCCCGCGCCGGCGCCGGACCCAGGCGCCCGCCGCAGGGACCCCAAACUCUCUUGCAUUACGCCCAGCGGGCGGAAUUUCUUCUCUGAGUUGCACAAGCAAAAACAAAUGAAUCAAAACUUUCAACAA